CUGGAUUUUCUUCCCAAUGGUAAGUCGACAGAGCUGACAAAAAAAAUGAUUUAUAAGGCUAUAAGCCGGUGUAAAAGGGUAGGAAAGUCGAUUUAUAAUACAUAAUACAUAUAAAAUAAAAUAAAAUAAAAUUGCAUCUUACGGAUUCUCAGAUCAUCGAUAGCAUCUGCAGUGGCGUCAAUUUCCCAUGCUUCUUCAUCAGAUGAACCAUAGAGGCCAAAUUUCUUCGCCAAGCAACGCAUUACCGCUUUUGAUUGAUUAUACUUUUUCCCAUCGAUCUCAAGGACUGGCAUCUGACCCAAGGGCAUUUCUACAAUAUUAUUACACUUUGUUAGAAAUAAAUUUAAUAAAUACCCUCCAAUCA